AAGUGUAAUGUUGUUACACUAGAUUAUUGAAAUUAUUAUUAACUAAUAGUACUAAUACAAGAGGCUUUAAUUUUGAAACUGGUAUCAGGAAUAAUUUCACAGUGAAGUCAUGUGAUCACAAGCACAAAACUAUUGUUAUUUUUAUUUCUUUUUACAUAUAUAAUUUGUAUUUCUUUUUUUUAUUAGUUUGAUUUUCUUUUUGGAAUUGUUAAUCUAUAUAAAAUGUUUAGGAACAACCGUUUACGUGAGUUACGUCGUGUGUUAGCGCUAGGGAAGGGCUGAUGUAAUUUCCUGUGCUCUCUCUCUUUCGCGGGAUGUCGUUGCGAUGAGAGGCACUGCUAGACCUGAUAUUCUUCUGUUACUACCUGCUGAUGUCUGUUAUACUUUGAUACAGAAACGUCGCUGAGAGUAAACCACGUGACAACUGCAUCAUGGUGUGAAGUCUCUUUUAUUAUCAAAACACACAACGCAGAAGGAAAUCCACUACACAUAUGUUAUGCUCUGCUCUGAUUGGCUGUUUCACAGUGUGGCUCUUUUUAGUAACUCAAAUAGCAGGAAGGAAACACAGGGAAGAUUUAUAUUUCAAUACUGUCUCUCGCAUUUAUAUCAUUGGGUAAUCAGAAUGAGCUUUAUUGCCAGGUAUGUUUACAUAUACAAGGAAUUGGUUUUCAUGACAGAAGCUUGCGCAGUGCAACAGAAUGACAGUGACAAAACAAAAGCAUGGAUUAAAAAAUAUUAAUAAAUAAAACAGAACAAUUAAAUGUGUAUAUGUUUUUACUUAUUUACAACUGUAUGUGGAUGUAUAUUCCAAAAGACAGUUUUGUAUGUACAGGUACAUCUUGUGUAAUUUUGAAGUGUAGACUAAGUGUGUGUGUGUUAGAUAAACAAGUGUAUGAGUGUAUAAAUAGUGUUGUGUGUUCCACAGUUUUUGUCAAGUGUUCAUGAGAUGGAUUGCCUGAGGGAAGAAACUGUUCCUGUGUCUGGCCAUUCUGGUGCUCAGAGCGCUGUAGCGUCGACCAGACGGCAACAGUUCAAGGAGAGAGUGUGUUGGAUGUGAAGGGUCCAGAGUGAUUUUACCAGCCCUUUUGCUCACUCUGGAUGAAUACAGUUCUUGGAGAGUGCUGGAUUUGGGUUUUCACAGCCUCACUAGCUGCUGCCUGUCUGUCUGGAAGCUGGUUAUCCACUAACAUCCGGAGGUGGACACGGAGAGCUGAGUUAGUUUGUACUGUAUAUAUAAUGCGGGCAUCAUGGAGCUGCUAUUAAUAUGCAAGGCAUUGAAACUGCUUUCAAAUGUACGAUCGCUUUUUACUUUCACAUCUUUGAGAUUUGUGAUCGCACAUGCUUUGUGUAAACUACAGCAGCAUUACUUACCACACAUUUUACAAGAUCAGAUGCUUGUAAGUGGUUCUCAUGAUCUGUAAAUUAUUCGCCAUCAUCCUCAGUCAUCUCUCCUUACUCUUUUUAUGUGGUAAGUGAAAUCUUAUGUACUGUAAUGUGACAGGCUACCGCUAGCAAGCAGUUAACCAUGUCCUUUUAGUGGCUCACGUUAUUCUAUUAGAAUGUACAUUCUUUUUUUCCCCAUGCCUUUCUGAAUACAGACACCAACCCAUCCCUGCACAUCAUGUCCCCUGCACAGCCUGGAACAAAACAUUUAUUUCCAUAAUCUGCAUAAUUUUGCUAUCAUCCUCACUUGUUUCUUCACAUUACCUGCAGAACUUCUGAUGAUUCAGCUGUGCAGGAUUAGGCUGGUUGCUGGCAUGGAACACGGGCAGGUAUAUGCAAAUGUUGGGGGUAUAACUAAUAGUGAUCCUAACUAUGUCACAGUCUGUGUUAUGUUCUGAUUUGCCUAUUUUUCAGUCUUUGAAAAGCCUUAUUUAAUAAUUUAGCCAUCUGUCACAAAUUACAUUUUAAAUUAAGAAUUUAAAGCAUCUAAAAUUAUCUUUCUCUACACUAAAAAAAGGGUAUCACUGGUCCUUCCCAAUCUAUGGAAAAUUUUUCCUUAAUAUCAACUGUCACACUGCUUCUGUUACAUAACAUUUCUUUUUGUAUGUCACAUUUUAAGAAAUAAAUCAAUUCAAAUUUUAA